CUCGCCCCCUCCUCUCCGCCCUCUCGCUCGCCGCCGCAAGGCCUCCCGCGCCGCUCAUCUCCACCUUCUCCAACGCGCUCUCUUGCUGGCCGUCGCAUCUCCUCAGCCCAUGGAUUCAGACGCAACGCAUCUGGGCCACCACCUCUCCUCUUUUCCUCCCAGAUUCCGAUCUGGAGCAGGAGAGAUAGAGGCGGACACAAGCGCCGACGCUGGCACGGGAUGAUAGAGACGCCACCUCUCCUUACCUCGUCCCAUAUUUGGGUCGUCGAGCCGACGGGGAUGAGGGAAGAGGCAGCCGCAGCAGGCGCAGUGCUGGCAAACGCGAGCAGCAGCCACAACAGGCGGCAGUGCUGGCGAAUCGGAUGUCCAUGGUGCGUCAACCAUGAAAGAUGCAGAAGAAAAAAUCAUGUUGAUAAAAGCACACACACCCACCAGGUUCAGGUUGCUGUGACUGUGAGUCAUCAUCCCAGGAGCAGGUUCAGCUUCUGUACAUCCAUUUUUUCGGCUACUUUGCAUCUUUCAGAUCUGCAAUUACAUAUGAUGGUAUUUCCCUUCUGCCAUACGAUGGACUGCUACUUCUUCUCAGAUGUGUCGGUUUCUGUAGCUCCAUUGCUUCUUUUUCAGUUAUAUGAUAGCUCAGGGAUGCUCACCAAUUGUUCCGUUAAAAUGACAAAACCGACUGAACUUUAUCUCUUAUAUGUGUUACUAAAUACUAGAGGUGAUUAUUUUAUUUCUAGGGAUUACAAUUUUAUAAGUGUUAUGCUUUUUGAGACUUUGAGGUCCGAACUAAUUAGUCUUUGAGAUCUCAAUGCUUCUAUAUAGAUGCAAUUAGUAUUUGUGACAAUGAGCAUCUCCGAAGCUGCAGCCUAUGCUAAAAGUAGUGCUAUUCAUUAGAACUAAUGUACCCGUUGAGGGAUAUAGAUUAUCCAUGGCGGAGCUGUGACGGCUCCAAUUUGUCCCUUCCAGCACAUGUGGUAGCGGAAGGAGUCGGGCGCCAAGGAUGGAGGCGAAGGAGCGCGGACACCCAGCUAUGGUGGUGCUGAUGGAUGAAGAAGAUGGGGGCGAAGGGAAAAAUAAAGUCCUUUGGGUGGUGAAGGCAGAAGAUCGCUCGCAUCCCCCAUCCGUUUUAUGUGCGUUCCUUGUGGGGAAAUUGAUUGCGGGGAGAAGGGAAGAAGAUGGGAAUCGUGAAGGGCUGGAAGACAUACGCCAUUGGCAGGCGGGCCUUCUCGUAUGCCAGAAGAAUAAUGCAUCUCGCAUGAAAAAAAGACCGACUGGUUGCUGUUUGGAAACUGAUUUGUGACGUUGCAUCAUGCUGACGUGGACAGCUUGCAUGUUAAGAUAAAUCAGAUAGUGGGGGUGAACUUCUUAGGUAUAUAGGAUGUGUGACACUUAUUUUGCAACAACAACAUUUUACAAUCUUACUAAUCAGUAUGACCCAUAUUCUGCUUCUUUUCUAAAUAUUUUUCAAUAUAAUUUAUAUCUUUGGCGUUCAAUGUUUCCUAGGUCAGGUAGUGAAUCAGGAUUUUUUUCCUUCUUUGGAAAUACAUCCUCCCUUUUCAAUUUUAUAAUACCACCUCCACUAUUUCAUUUCUUAUAUGGUCGUAUUUACAGUCUGUCCUUUUAUGCUCGUGUUGUCUAAAAGGGAGUCUGAUCUAUCUUGUGUUAUGUCUUCAUUCUAAAUCUUAUUUUAGAUAAGGAGACUUUCUUGGUUGAGCAGAUGUCAUGAUUGUUGAAGCUUCCUUAUUCCUGGGAACCUUUCACAUGUUUGAUGUGUACUUUUGUUGAUUAUUCUCCGAUCGAGGCAUAAUGUUUUUUUAUGAACGGGGAGGAUGUAUUCUAACAAACCAGGAACAUGUGAGGUGUACUGCCGUACCAAUUCAUUUAACCAACAAGCCACGAAGCAUUCGUCCACACGUGAGUGUGGCCCACUAGGCACAAGCGGUCGGCGCUCGACUGCCUGGCAGUACUGCUGUCAGAUCAGGGGACGCCAGUCGAGGUAGAGGAAGACGACCACCGCUCCUGGUCCUCGAGGUCCGGGUCCGCGCUUUCCAAAGGAGCACGGUGCUUCUCAAAUAUAGAUGGAGAACUUGCCAUGGAGGCACAUAGCUUGCUGAUUUUGUUUCUGGAUUGGCCCUUGAGAGGGAGACCGACCCAAACUUCAGCAGGUUUCAGUCAUCUUUAAAGGAGUUGUGGUUGGUUGCCAUUGUGGUGAAGUAAUUUCUUGCUGAAGCACCGGUCUAAAUUUAUCAUUGGUUUCGCUGGUGCUGCAUGUAAGCGGGGUUACUAAUUGUUCCAUUGGUUUUGCUCCGGUGAGUUCUUCCCCAUAUACCUUUGAUGCUUUUGCCUCCAUACCUUCGAGCUGGUAUUUUUUCCAAGGUUUAUCGUGUUUUCGUGGUAGUGUGACUGGCUUAGAGUUUGUAAUCAUUUAUCUUCUUCAAUGAAUGUCUGUGCUAUGAUAUUCUGUAAGGCUAGGAACACACUAAGUUGGUUAAUGCUUUUGAUCUAGCUUGUUGGGAGAUAAUGAAACAACAAUGUUUAUUUGCUCACAAUGCCUUAUGUUGAUUGUUCUGGAUAGGUAUUUUAGUCGUAAGAGAUGUCUCCAAAAAAGCAAAAACAGCAAUUCACUGUUGAUUUACUUUGCUAUGAUUGCUCCCAUUAGAUUGUCCUUAAAUCAUGUGCAAAGCUGAAGUAUUGUUCGCUGAGGAUGAUGAUGCAGAGUGUUAAAAGGCCUAUCUCCUUGGUAGAUGAAGCUUGUUGGAUUGAUUUCAGGCCAUUGAAAACAGAUGACACCAUGCCUCCCCCAGUUAAUGAACAUGUGUCGCUUCCAAGUACAUACUGAAGGAUGUUCUGAGGCUAGCACCUGGUUUAGAAGUUUUGCAAUUCACAUCUCAUAAUUUUGAUUUGAUGUCCAGAAUGUCAAUUGAAGAAUGAGCCUAUGAACUGCAUUGUAUUUUGUAAUAUAUCCUUAUAUAUGGUGCUUGUGGCGUUUUUUUUGCAAUUAUAAGUUUACAUUUAUGGGUAUUAUAGAGUUCUUUCUUUUUCCACAAGGGGCAGUAGCUGUGCCAUUCGACUCGAAGGACAAAGAGUUGAUCACAAAGGGGUAGCAUUCAGGAUAUAUACACAAGAGUAUAGAACCAAAUUAUAUGAUGUAAUUGACCGCUAUUUCUAUUAACUUCUCCUGUACAAAUGUUCACGAGUUCAUGUAUUAAGUAUAUUUUAUUGUGUCA